rnacentral:rRNA from 1 species
AUUGAACGCUGGCGGCAGGCCUAACACAUGCAAGUCGAGCGGAUGAAGGGAGCUUGCUCCUGGACUCAGCGGCGGACGGGUGAGUAAUGCCUAGGAAUCUGCCUGGUAGUGGGGGAUAACGUCCGGAAACGGGCGCUAAUACCGCAUACGUCCUGAGGGAGAAAGUGGGGGAUCUUCGGACCUCACGCUAUCAGAUGAGCCUAGGUCGGAUUAGCUAGUUGGUGGGGUAAAGGCCUACCAAGGCGACGAUCCGUAACUGGUCUGAGAGGAUGAUCAGUCACACUGGAACUGAGACACGGUCCAGACUCCUACGGGAGGCAGCAGUGGGGAAUAUUGGACAAUGGGCGAAAGCCUGAUCCAGCCAUGCCGCGUGUGUGAAGAAGGUCUUCGGAUUGUAAAGCACUUUAAGUUGGGAGGAAGGGCAGUAAGUUAAUACCUUGCUGUUUUGACGCUACCAACAGAAUAAGCACCGGCUAACUUCGUG